ACUUAGCUUAAUGCAUGGCUACAAAGACAUCAAAAAUGGUUUCUCUUCUUCUAUCUUUGUUUAUCGUGCUCCUAUUUGUCUCAUCUCAAGUGGAAGUUGCAGAUGCCAUAGAUCUCCACCUAGGGCUGGAAAGGAAGCUGCUAAGAACAAAACCAUCAAAUAGUAACCCAGAUCAUCAAUAUCAUCAACCGCCCACGGUUAAACCAAAACCUAAACCGCGACCACCAGCGCCUAAGUUUUCUGCCCCGCCCCCACCCCGGGUUAUAAGUGCAAAACCACCGCUACAGAUGUCAUACCCGCUAUCACCACUAUUGCCUCAUGUGCCUCUUCGUUUGCCACAUGCCUCAUCGCCGUUGUUUACAUAACGAAGAAGGAACCUAACGACGCUGUUGAUAGUCGAAGAAGGAAGCUGAUGGAUAUAGUUAAAGAAAGUGUGUUAUUGCGUGUCCUGACCUGAGUCUUGUACUAUUCAUCAGCAUAUUUUAGUCGAUAUGAUAUAUUUGUAAUAAUCCCAAUAGCUUUUAAAUGUUGUAACUUAAUGAAGCUUUU